UACGUAGGGUCCGAGCGUUGUCCGGAAUUACUGGGCGUAAAGAGCUCGUAGGUGGUUUGUCGCGUUGUUCGUGAAAACUCACAGCUUAACUGUGGGCGUGCGGGCGAUACGGGCAGACUAGAGUACUGCAGGGGAGACUGGAAUUCCUGGUGUAGCGGUGGAAUGCGCAGAUAUCAGGAGGAACACCGAUGGCGAAGGCGGCCCCCUGGUUGGAUACUGACGCUGAUACGCGAAAGCGUGGGGAGCAAACAGG
rnacentral:rRNA from 1 species